GUUGAAGUUGAUGAGCAAGAUUUUGUUGCUAAUGCUGCGAAUUUGCCUAUCCAUGCUGUAAUUGAAGAUGAUGGGAAAAUCCUGCCUCUUGACUUCAAAAACUUUCGAAUUCGAUCCUUGUUUGCGACUGCGAUAGAGGGUGCCCUUGAUGAGAUUCACUUUAUGGGAGCCUUUUCUGAGGCGUAUUUGCAAACUGUCUGUGGAUUACAGUUUCUGUUGAUUUUGG
rnacentral:misc_RNA from 1 species